ACUGGCCCGCUGCAUCUGUCCCUAGUCCACUGUGCUAGUUUUGUCUCCCCACUGGCCCACUUGCACUGCUUCACUCACCAAAAUGGUAGUCUUGGAGAAUGCUUUCUCUAUUCACUUGCAACAAUGUUGGGAGAUGCAUCUGGCAAUGUUUUUCCCUUGAAUUGGAUGGUUUUGACCCAUUUGUUAGGUCAGCAUGCUGUUGCCCAGGUGGGCUUCAGUUUAGUACUAUGCAAUACUAACAAGUGGUGAUGCUGAUGCAUUGUUGCUUUGGACUCGGCACCUCUGUGUCUUCAUGCCUUCUAUGAUGUCAUGCAUUUGUUCCUCAUUCAACAUGACAAAUCAAGGUUAGGUAUUAGUAUACUGUCGAAGGCAAUAUACCAAUAGACUAUGUGCAUCUUAGAAAGUAACAAUUAGUUAAAACAAGUUUCAGUCACAUUUUUAUUAACAUUUAGAGCAAGUUUAUUACAGAACAUACUGGAUAUCCACUAUAUUCAACUUCAAAAAGUGCAUAAUAUUAUUUAAGGAAAUUAGUGGUUCACCAGUUGGAAUAGCUUAUUGUUACAUAUACUCGGUCACAGCACUAAGUGAUAGAAUAAAUGCACAUUCAGUUAAUUAAAUUUAAACCAAACAUUGAGUCAACUACAAAUUGUUAUCAGGGUCCAGUCACAAGGAAAGAAUGCUCAAUCAACUAAGGAAAAUUAGAACAGCAGCUAGGCUUUAAUUGACUGCGCAUUCUUUAGUUGGCUUUGCUGCAAUCUUUUCAUUCAUUAAGUUCAUAUUGCUAAAUUUUUAAAACUUUCUUGUUGUGGUUGAACCUUGAAACUAGAAAAGAAAAAAAAAUUCUAACUUUAUAGUUAAACCGUAGUCUAACUCUUUAACUGAACCAUAAUAACAAUCUUUAAUUGACUUAAUGUUUGAUUUAAAUUUAGUUAAUUGGAUGUGCAUAACUCCUUCAUAAUACUUUUAGCCGGACUACAUGGUUUUAAAUAAUGGCUGUUAGUUAUGUAACGGGUUUUGGGGGAACCAUUAUCCGUUAUCCCGUUAUACAUCGAUACUUAACGGUAAUGGUUGUUACUAGUAAUUAAAAUUCUUUUAUAUCCUUCCUCUUUUGCCCCCCUAUUCUCAUUUUUAUUAGUUUCUACACUUUUAGGCAGAUUCAAAGGCUAUAUUUUUUAAGUUUUUUUCUUUCCUUCCUCUUUCAAAUUUAUUCCCUGCAUAUUUUCGUAUAAGCUUUGAUCCAUCAUAAACUAUAGUAUUUCCAAGCUUAUUUCUCCUAAAAAAUUAGUUAAAUUUUAUGUAUUUUAGUUUUUAGUUGUUGUUUUCUCCCUUUCCUAAAAAAUUUUUUGUGGAUUAAAGUAUUAGUUUUAAGUUAAAAUUAUAUUUUGAGCUAUUAGUUUACUCGAUUUAUAAAGAUUAUGUUGGUUUUUCUUAUUUUAAACUAUAUGAUAUUUAACUUAAAUUAAAUAAUUUAUAUUUCAUGUAUUUAUAUUUAUUAUGCAUUUGUAUACAUUAUUCUGAAUUAAAUCUAAUCAAUAUCAUUUUAUUAUGAAAUUUGCAAAUUUUUUUGAUUGCGUGUUGCCAGACCGUUACCAUUACAUUACGGCAGUUACAGAUCUAUUUCCAUUACUUGCAAUCACAACCACGACUGCAAUUUAAAACCAUGGUCGACUAAGCAUUCUUCCCUCCUUGUGAUCAAGCCCUAAUAACAAUUUUUAGUUUGACUCAAUAUUGGACUUAAGUUUAGUUAACCAAAUGUGCAUUUUUCAAUGUUGCGACUAAGUCUUUAUAAGAAUAUGCUAUUCAUGGUUUUAAAUAAUAGUAGUUAUGUAAUGUAACCGCCAUCAUGUAACGGGUUUUGGGGGCCGUUACCCAUUACCCCGUUAUACAGCGGCCUCCCUGAUUUUGCAGACGUAAUGGCCAUUACAUAAAGGUAAUGGCCGUUUUGCCGUUACAUAACGGUAAUGGCCGUUUUGCCGUUACAUAACGGUAAUAGCCGUUACAUAACGGUAAUGGCCAUUACAUAAAGGUAAUGACGGUUACCGGCCGUUACAUAACAUUAAUGGCCAUUACCGUUACCGAUAAUUAAAAUUUUUUUAUAUCCUUUCUCUUUUGCCCCCUAUUCUCAUUUUCAUUAGUUUCUACACAUUUCAGCAGCUUCAAAGGCUAUAUUUUUUAAGUUUUCUCUUCCCUUUCUCUUUCAAAUUUCAAUCUUCCCUGCAUAUUUCUCAUAUAAGCUUAGAUCCAUCAUAAACUACUCUAUUUUCAAGCUUAUUUCUUCUAAAAAAUUAGUUAAAUUUUAUCUAUUUUAGUUUUUAAUUGUUAUUUUUUCCCAUUUUAAAAAAUUUUUUGUGGAUUAAAGUGUUAGUUUUGAAUUAAAAUUGUAUUUUGAGCUAUUAGUUUACUCGAUCUAUAAAAAUUAUGUUGAUUUUUCUUAUUUUAAACUAUAUGAUGUUUAACUUAAAUAAUCUAUAUUUUAUGUAUUUAUAUUUAUUAUGCAUUUGUAUAUAUUGCUCUGAAUUAAAUCUAAUCAAUAUCAUUGCAUUUAUAAGCUUUGCAAAUUUUUUUAAAAAAUUUGCAUAUGCCUGUUUCCAUUAUCUGCAGCCGCGAUUUAAAACCAUGAUACUAUUUCAAUUGGUGAACCACAAAUUUCUUUAAAUAAUUUUUUGCACCUUUUCAAUCUGAAUGUGGUGGAUAUCUUAUAUGUUUUGCAAUCAACUUGAUCUAUGAAAAUGUGACCAAGAAACUUGGUUUAACUACUUAUUACUGCACGUGGCUUGCUAUAUUGAUUUCCUUUGGCAAUAUACUAACACUUAACAUUGAUCUACCAUGUUGAAUGAGUAACAAAAACAUAAGAUUGUUAAAGGUAUGAAGACACAAAGGUGCCAACCAACACUCCUAAAGGAACAUUACAACUAAACAGCACUGCAUAGUACUACACCGGUUAGGAAACAACAUGCUAACAUGACAAACAGGUCAAACCCAUCCAAUUCAAAGUAAAAAGCAAGGCCAAAUGCAUCUCCCAACGCAUUUGCAAGUGAACAAAGGAAGUAAUCUCCAAGAUGGUGUCGCUUUGGUGAGUUAGGUUGUUAUGAUCCUGAGUCAUAGAUUGUGUUAUAGGACAACGGACAGGAAAAGAGCUCGUCAAAAGGAGCUUUUAACACCUAGUCUCGUUAAUGAGAGAGUUUUAAAUCUCAAUGUGCUUUUCAUUAAUCUGCUUAUUUUAAAAAUAAACUCCUUACAUAGUAGAGUUUCACACAAUCAUAAUAUUUCUAAUUAGAAUAAAAGUCUAAUAUCAGCAAUUAUUAGAUAAGAAACUACUAGAAUAAGAUAUUAAAAACCUA
rnacentral:lncRNA from 1 species